rnacentral:misc_RNA from 1 species
GAUGAAGAACGUAGCGAAAUGCGAUAAGUAAUGUGAAUUGCAGAAUUCAGUGAAUCAUCGAAUCUUUGAACGCACAUUGCGCCCUUUGGUAUUCCUUAGGGCAUGCCUGUUCGAGCGUCAUUUGAAACCUCAAGCUCAGCUUGGUGUUGGGUGUCUGUCCCCGCCUCACCGCGGGGACUCGCCUCAAAAUCAUUGGCGGCCGGUACGUUGGCUUCGAGCGCAGCAGAAACGCGAACUCGAGGCCCGGCGGAUCGGCGACCAGAAGUCACUUCUUCACAGUUUGACCUCGAAUCAGGUAGGGAUACCCGCUGAACUUAAGCAUAUCAAUAAGCGGAGGA